UACGUAGGGGGCGAGCGUUUCCGGAUUCAUUGGGCGUAAAGCGCUUUAAGGCGGUUCGCUAAGUCGCGUGUGAAACCUGCAGGCUCAACCUGGAGACGCCACGCGAUACUGGCGUGACUAGAGUUCGGUAGGGGAUCACGGAAUUCCUGGUGUAGCGGUGAAAUGCGCAGAUAUCAGGAGGAACACCAGUGUCGAAGGCGCACAUCUGGCCCGAUACUGACGCUGAGGCGCGAAAGCUAGGGGAGCAAACGGG
rnacentral:rRNA from 1 species